GGACUACUGGGGUAUCUAAUCCCGUUUGCUCCCCUAGCUUUCGCGCCUCAGCGUCAGAAAGGAUCCAGUCCGCCGCUUUCGCCACCGGCGUUCCUUCUGAUAUCAACGCAUUUCACCGCUCCACCAGAAGUUCCGCGGACCCCUGUCCCCCUCGAGCCUACCAGUAUCAAAGGCACUGUUACGGUUAAGCCGCAAAAUUUCACCCCUGACUUGGUAAGCCGCCUACGCGCCCUUUAAGCCCAGUGAUUCCGAACAACGUUCGCUCGGUUCGUCUUACCGCGGCUGCUGGCAC
rnacentral:rRNA from 1 species